rnacentral:rRNA from 1 species
CGGGUGAGUAACACGUGGGUGAUCUGCCCUGCACUUCGGGAUAAGCUUGGGAAACUGGGUCUAAUACCGGAUAGGAGCCAUCUUUAGUGUGGUGGUUGGAAAGUUUUUUCGGUGUAGGAUGAGCUCGCGGCCUAUCAGCUUGUUGGUGGGGUAAUGGCCUACCAAGGCGGCGACGGGUAGCCGGCCUGAGAGGGUGUACGGCCACAUUGGGACUGAGAUACGGCCCAG